rnacentral:rRNA from 1 species
UAGGAACCAGGAUUAGAUACCCUGUUACUUGUAAUAAAUAUAUUUUGGAAUAUUAAUAAUUAUGAAAUUUAACGGAUUUGGCGGCAAGAUAGACCUUUUAGAGGAACCUGCCCUGUAAACGAUGGUCCACGAGAAUAUUUUACUCUUAUUAGUAAUCAGUUUGUAUACCGCUGUUGUCAGUCAGUUUCUUUAGAAAACUUUCGUUAAUGAUACAAUCAUUGACUUCAAGUAAAGGUGCAGCUUAUAUAAGAGAUAGAGGUGGGUUACAAUUAAUUAGAUUAAAACGGAUAGGAAAUACGAAAACUUUUCUUGAAGGUGGAUUUAAUAGUAAAACUUAUGAUAGUUUGAUGUGAGCACUAUUUUGUGUACACACCGCCCGUCGCUCUCUUUUAUAAA